rnacentral:rRNA from 1 species
CGCCGCGUGGGGGAUGACGGCCUUCGGGUUGUAAACUCCUUUCGCCAGGGACGAAGCGUUUUGUGACGGUACCUGGAGAAGAAGCACCGGCUAACUACGUGCCAGCAGCCGCGGUAAUACGUAGGGUGCAAGCGUUGUCCGGAAUUACUGGGCGUAAAGAGCUCGUAGGUGGUUUGUCACGUCGUCUGUGAAAUUCCACAGCUUAACUGUGGGCGUGCAGGCGAUACGGGCUGACUUGAGUACUGUAGGGGUAACUGGAAUUCCUGGUGUAGCGGUGAAAUGCGCAGAUAUCAGGAGGAACACCGAUGGCGAAGGCAGGUUACUGGGCAGUUACUGACGCUGAGGAGCGAAAGCAUGGGUAGCAAACAGGAUUAGAUACCCUGGUAGUCCAUGCCGUAAACGGUGGGCGCUAGGUGUAGGGGCCUUUUGGGGUUUCUGUGCCGUAGCUAACGCAUUAAGCGCCCCGCCUGGGGAGUACGGCCGCAAGGCUAAAACUCA